UAGACACGUGGGUGAUCUGCCCUGCACUCUGGGAUAAGCCUGGGAAACUGGGUCUAAUACCGGAUAGGACCAUGCUUUAGUGUGUGUGGUGGAAAGUUUUUUCGGUGUAGGAUGAGCCCGCGGCCUAUCAGCUUGUUGGUGGGGUAAUGGCCUACCAAGGCGGCGACGGGUAGCCGGACUGAGAGGUUGGUCGGCCACAUUGGGACUGAGAUACGGCCCAG
rnacentral:rRNA from 1 species